rnacentral:rRNA from 1 species
ACUAAGCGUACACGGUGGAUGCCCUGGCAGUCAGAGGCGAUGAAGGACGUGCUAAUCUGCGAUAAGCGUCGGUAAGGUGAUAUGAACCGUUAUAACCGGCGAUUUCCGAAUGGGGAAACCCAGUGUGAUUCGUCACACUAUCAUUAACUGAAUCCAUAGGUUAAUGAGGCGAACCGGGGGAACUGAAACAUCUAAGUACCCCGAGGAAAAGAAAUCAACCGAGAUUCCCCCAGUAGCGGCGAGCGAACGGGGAGCAGCCCAGAGCCUGAAUCAGUGUGUGUGUUAGUGGAAGCGUCUGGAAAGGCGCGCGAUACAGGGUGACAGCCCCGUACACAAAAAUGCACAUGCUGUGAGCUCGAUGAGUAGGGCGGGACACGUGGUAUCCUGUCUGAAUAUGGGGGGACCAUCCUCCAAGGCUAAAUACUCCUGACUGACCGAUAGUGAACCAGUACCGUGAGGGAAAGGCGAAAAGAACCCCGGCGAGGGGAGUGAAAAAGAACCUGAAACCGUGUACGUACAAGCAGUGGGAGCACAGAGCAAUCUGUGUGACUGCGUACCUUUUGUAUAAUGGGUCAGCGACUUAUAUUCUGUAGCAAGGUUAACCGAAUAGGGGAGCCGAAGGGAAACCGAGUCUUAACUGGGCGUUAAGUUGCAGGGUAUAGACCCGAAACCCGGUGAUCUAGCCAUGGGCAGGUUGAAGGUUGGGUAACACUAACUGGAGGACCGAACCGACUAAUGUUGAAAAAUUAGCGGAUGACUUGUGGCUGGGGGUGAAAGGCCAAUCAAACCGGGAGAUAGCUGGUUCUCCCCGAAAGCUAUUUAGGUAGCGCCUCGUGAAUUCAUCUCCGGGGGUAGAGCACUGUUUCGGCAAGGGGGUCAUCCCGACUUACCAACCCGAUGCAAACUGCGAAUACCGGAGAAUGUUAUCACGGGAGACACACGGCGGGUGCUAACGUCCGUCGUGAAGAGGGAAACAACCCAGACCGCCAGCUAAGGUCCCAAAGUCAUGGUUAAGUGGGAAACGAUGUGGGAAGGCCCAGACAGCCAGGAUGUUGGCUUAGAAGCAGCCAUCAUUUAAAGAAAGCGUAAUAGCUCACUGGUCGAGUCGGCCUGCGCGGAAGAUGUAACGGGGCUAAACCAUGCACCGAAGCUGCGGCAGCGACGCUGAUGCGUUGUUGGGUAGGGGAGCGUUCUGUAAGCCUGCGAAGGUGUGCUGUGAGGCAUGCUGGAGGUAUCAGAAGUGCGAAUGCUGACAUAAGUAACGAUAAAGCGGGUGAAAAGCCCGCUCGCCGGAAGACCAAGGGUUCCUGUCCAACGUUAAUCGGGGCAGGGUGAGUCGACCCCUAAGGCGAGGCCGAAAGGCGUAGUCGAUGGGAAACAGGUUAAUAUUCCUGUACUUGGUGUUACUGCGAAGGGGGGACGGAGAAGGCUAUGUUGGCCGGGCGACGGUUGUCCCGGUUUAAGCGUGUAGGCUGGUUUUCCAGGCAAAUCCGGAAAAUCAAGGCUGAGGCGUGAUGACGAGGCACUACGGUGCUGAAGCAACAAAUGCCCUGCUUCCAGGAAAAGCCUCUAAGCAUCAGGUAACAUCAAAUCGUACCCCAAACCGACACAGGUGGUCAGGUAGAGAAUACCAAGGCGCUUGAGAGAACUCGGGUGAAGGAACUAGGCAAAAUGGUGCCGUAACUUCGGGAGAAGGCACGCUGAUAUGUAGGUGAAGUCCCUCGCGGAUGGAGCUGAAAUCAGUCGAAGAUACCAGCUGGCUGCAACUGUUUAUUAAAAACACAGCACUGUGCAAACACGAAAGUGGACGUAUACGGUGUGACGCCUGCCCGGUGCCGGAAGGUUAAUUGAUGGGGUCAGCGCAAGCGAAGCUCUUGAUCGAAGCCCCGGUAAACGGCGGCCGUAACUAUAACGGUCCUAAGGUAGCGAAAUUCCUUGUCGGGUAAGUUCCGACCUGCACGAAUGGCGUAAUGAUGGCCAGGCUGUCUCCACCCGAGACUCAGUGAAAUUGAACUCGCUGUGAAGAUGCAGUGUACCCGCGGCAAGACGGAAAGACCCCGUGAACCUUUACUAUAGCUUGACACUGAACAUUGAGCCUUGAUGUGUAGGAUAGGUGGGAGGCUUUGAAGUGUGGACGCCAGUCUGCAUGGAGCCGGCCUUGAAAUACCACCCUUUAAUGUUUGAUGUUCUAACGUUGACCCGUGAUCCGGGUUGCGGACAGUGUCUGGUGGGUAGUUUGACUGGGGCGGUCUCCUCCUAAAGAGUAACGGAGGAGCACGAAGGUUGGCUAAUCCUGGUCGGACAUCAGGAGGUUAGUGCAAUGGCAUAAGCCAGCUUGACUGCGAGCGUGACGGCGCGAGCAGGUGCGAAAGCAGGUCAUAGUGAUCCGGUGGUUCUGAAUGGAAGGGCCAUCGCUCAACGGAUAAAAGGUACUCCGGGGAUAACAGGCUGAUACCGCCCAAGAGUUCAUAUCGACGGCGGUGUUUGGCACCUCGAUGUCGGCUCAUCACAUCCUGGGGCUGAAGUAGGUCCCAAGGGUAUGGCUGUUCGCCAUUUAAAGUGGUACGCGAGCUGGGUUUAGAACGUCGUGAGACAGUUCGGUCCCUAUCUGCCGUGGGCGCUGGAGAACUGAGGGGGGCUGCUCCUAGUACGAGAGGACCGGAGUGGACGCAUCACUGGUGUUCGGGUUGUCAUGCCAAUGGCACUGCCCGGUAGCUAAAUGCGGAAGAGAUAAGUGCUGAAAGCAUCUAAGCACGAAACUUGCCCCGAGAUGAGUUCUCCCUGACUCCUUGAGAGUCCUGAAGGAACGUUGAAGACGACGACGUUGAUAGGCCGGGUGUGUAAGCGCAGCGAUGCGUUGAGCUAACCGGUACUAAUGAACCGUGAGGCUUAACC